rnacentral:rRNA from 1 species
UACGUAGGGGGGCAAGCGUUGUCCGGAAUCAUUGGGCGUAAAGAGCGUGUAGGCGGCUUGACAGGUCUGCUGUGAAAACUCGAGGCUCAACCUCGAGAUGUCGGCGGAAACCGUCUGGCUAGAGUCCGGAAGAGGCGAGUGGAAUUCCUGGUGUAGCGGUGGAAUGCGCAGAUAUCAGGAGGAACACCAAUAGCGAAGGCAGCUCGCUGGGACGGUACUGACACUAAGGCGCGAAAGCGUGGGGAGCGAACAGG